rnacentral:rRNA from 1 species
CAAGGAAUUUUCCGCAAUGGGCGCAAGCCUGACGGAGCAACGCCGCGUGCCGGAUGACGGCUUUCGGGUUGUAAAGAAACCCCGGCUAACUCCGUGCCAGCAGCCGCGGUAAUACGGAGGGGGUUAGCGUUGUUCGGAAUUACUGGGCGUAAAGCGCGCGUAGGCUGACUAUUAAGUCAGAGGUGAAAUCCCGGGGCUCAACCCCGGAACUGCCUUUGAUACUGGUAGUCUUGAGUUCGAGAGAGGUGAGUGGAAUUCCGAGUGUAGAGGUGAAAUUCGUAGAUAUUCGGAGGAACACCAGUGGCGAAGGCGGCUCACUGGCUCGAUACUGACGCUGAGGUGCGAAAGUGUGGGGAGCAAACAGGAUUAGAUACCCCGGUAGUCC